rnacentral:rRNA from 1 species
GAUGAACGCUGGCGGCGUGCCUAAUACAUGCAAGUCGAGCGAACAGAUGAGGAGCUUGCUCCUCUGACGUUAGCGGCGGACGGGUGAGUAACACGUGGAUAACCUACCUAUAAGACUGGGAUAACUUCGGGAAACCGGAGCUAAUACCGGAUAAUAUAUUGAACCGCAUGGUUCAAUAGUGAAAGACGGUUUUGCUAUCACUUAUAGAUGGAUCCGCGCCGCAUUAGCUAGUUGGUAAGGUAACGGCUUACCAAGGCAACGAUGCGUAGCCGACCUGAGAGGGUGAUCGGCCACACUGGAACUGAGACACGGUCCAGACUCCUACGGGAGGCAGCAAUAGGGAAUCUUCCGCAAUGGGCGAAAGCCUGACGGAGCAACGCCGCGUGAGUGAUGAAGGUCUUCGGAUCGUAAAACUCUGUUAUUAGGGAAGAACAAAUGUGUAAGUAACUAUGCACGUCUUGACGGUACCUAAUCAGAAAGCCACGGCUAACUACGUG